rnacentral:rRNA from 1 species
UAGUCAUAUGCUUGUCUCAGAGAUUAAGCCAUGCAUGUCCAAGUAUAAGCAAUCUUAUACAGCGAAACUGCGAAUGGCUCAUUAAAUCAGUUAUAGUCUACUUGAUCGUACCUUCUUACAUGGAUAACCGUAGUAAAUCUAGAGCUAAUACAUGCUAAAAAUCCUGGACGCGGCAACGCGGAAGGGACGAGUUUAUUAGAUUAAAAACCGACACCUCUCCGCGAGGGGAGGUAGCACAGGUGAUUCACAGUAACCGAUCGGAUCGUCGGCCCCGCCGACGACGAUGCAUACGAGUUUCUGCCCUAUCAACUUUAGAUGGUAGAGUAUCGGUCUACCAUGGUCGUAACGGGUGACGGGGGAUUAGGGUUCGAUUCCGGAGAGGGAGCCUGAGAAACGGCUACCACUUCCAAGGAAGGCAGCAGGCGCGCAAAUUACCCAAUCCCGACACGGGGAGGUAGUGACAAGAAAUACCAUUGUAAUGUCUCCUCGAGAGGCUUACGAUUGGAAUGUGUACAAUUUAAAUCCCUCGACGAGUAACGAUU